UAUAGAUGGAAGAUUGGAUCAGAGCAAGCAAGACUGAGUGAGAAAAACUGAGGCUAGGAUACACAGGCCUGUGUCAGGGAAUGGGGAAGCCUCCACAGUUCCUAGGAGGGGAAACCAAAGCGAAGGCCAGAAGGCUCUUGGUGGAGGCAGAGCUAAAGGAAGGCCAUGCUGGAUGCUAUGGAGCAGCUCUGCCCUGUUCCUCCUCCCCAGAUGGGUGGACCAGUCUUCCGGAGAUCCUUGUGUCGGUCCACCUGCCCUGGGAUGGCCCCACCCACAGUUGGCUGGGUGUCCCCACAUCAAUCAACAAUCAAGAAAAAGGCUGGCGAGAUGGCUUCACAGUUAAGAGGGCUGGAUGAUCUUGCAAAGGACCCUGAUUUGGUUCCCACGUGGCGGCUAAUAACUGUCCUUAACCCCAGGGGAUCUCUUCUGGCCUCCACAGUCACCAGGUAUGCAUGAGGUGCACUAACAUACAUGCAGGCAAAACACUCAUACACACAAAAAAUAAAAUCUUAAAAAAAAA